rnacentral:lncRNA from 1 species
GUUCUGACCUGUAGGAGGGGCUGUAGAGUCACUAAUCCAGUUCUCGUUUAUAUCUUCCUUACUCCAGUGCUGACAAACCCACAGUCACGCCUCGCGUUAGGAGCAUAUAACUGAGUUAGAGAUGAAACAGGUGUGUCCCUGCGGGGAAGAGUCCGCUACACUCGUCCUCAGAACAGAACGAAGGCCCUCCGAAGUCCACCACUCUGGACGGAAGCUGGUGAGGGCAGGAAGUAAGGAUGGAGACAGUGAGUGUAUUAGCUGGUCAUUAUGGCCGCUCUCAGCAGGGGGUCCGAGCUCAAUGGUGCUUUCAUGUUUCCUGACCUCCAGCUCUUCUGUGAAAACAUCACUGCCCAACGUGUCCACUUUUUAGUGAAAACUGUCAUUUGAUGGAAACUUGGUUGGGCUAACCGCUACUGGGUGCUCCCUUAUGGAGCAUGGAUAAAUAUGAAAACAAUACAAAAAAUAUAAAAUUUAAUUAAUACCAUUAAUUGCUGAACAUGGAGCAGCAAAUGUCUUCAGUUUCUGAAUGUGAUGUCAGUGAUGUCAAACGUUGCUUUCUUAAAUGGGCAGGAUUAUCCCAAGAUGACACGUUGGAC